rnacentral:RNase_P_RNA from 1 species
CGUGCAGGCCGGGUGACCGCGGGCCGGCGCAAGCCGGUCCGAGGAAAGUCCGGACACCAAAGGGCAGGACGCUGGGGAAAACCCAGGCGGCGAAAGCCGACGGAAAGUGGCACAGAAAGGAAACCGCCAACAGCGAAAACUCUCCGGAGACGCUGAGGGUAAGGGUGAAAAGGUGGGGUAAGAGCCCACCAGCAUCGCGGUGACGCGGUGGCUUGCCAAACCCCGUCCGGUGCAAGGCGAAGCAGGCUCCGUCGAGGUGGCCCGCCGAGGAGCCGGGUGCGCCGCUCGAGCCGUCGGGAGACCGACGGCCUAGAGAGAUGGUCAUCCAAGACAGAAUCCGGCUUACAGGUCUGCUAAGGGA